GAUGAACGCUGGCGGCGUGCCUAAUACAUGCAAGUCGAGCGAACAGACGAGGAGCUUGCUCCUCUGUCGUAAUCGGCGGACGGGUGAGUAACACGUGGAUAACCUACCUAUAAGACUGGGAUAACUUCGGGAAACCGGAGCUAAUACCGGAUAAUAUAUUGAACCGCAUGGUUCAUUAGUGAAAGACGGUGUUGCUGUCACUUAUAGAUGGAUCCGCGCCGCAUUAGCUAGUUGGUAAGGUAACGGCUUACCAAGGCAACGAUGCGUAGCCGACCUGAGAGGGUGAUCGGCCUCACUGCAACUGAGCCACGAUCCAGACUCCUACUGGGAGCAGCAGUAGGGAAUCUUCCGCAAUGGGCGAAAGCCUGACGGAGAAACGCCGCGUGAGUGAUGAAGGUCUUCGGAUCGUAAACCUCUGUUAUUAGGGAAGACAAAAUGUGUAAGUAACUAUGCACGUCUUGACGGUACCUAAUCAGAAAGCCACGGCUAACUACGUG
rnacentral:rRNA from 1 species